UCCCUGGUGGUCCAGUGGCUAAGAUUUGGCACUUCCAAUGCAGGGGGCCUGGGUUUGAUUCCUAGUCAGAGAA
rnacentral:tRNA from 1 species